rfam:Triticum aestivum genome assembly, contig: Triticum_aestivum_CS42_TGACv1_scaffold_580146_7BL
UAUCUACUCCCUCCGUCCCAAAAUUCUUGUCUUAGAUUUGUCUAGAUACGGAUGUAUCUAAUACUAAAACGUGACUUGAUACAUCCGUAUUUAGAUAAACCUAAGACAAGAAUUUUGGGACGGAGGGAGUACACU